GCCUGGGUGGCUUAAUUGGUUAAGUGUCUGACUUCGGCUCAGGUCAUGAUCUCACAGUUUGUGAGUUCAAGCCCUGCGUCAGGCU
rnacentral:tRNA from 1 species